GGCUCAGUGGCUCAGUGAGUAGGGCGCCAGCCCCAUACACUGAGGGUGGUGGGUUCAAACCCCGCCCUGGCCA
rnacentral:tRNA from 1 species